rnacentral:rRNA from 1 species
UACGUAGGGGGCGAGCGUUGUCCGGAAUUAUUGGGCGUAAAGAGCGUGUAGGCGGUCCGGUAAGUCCGCUGUGAAAGUCCAGGGCUCAACCCUGGGAUGCCGGUGGAUACUGUCGGGCUCGAGUCCGGAAGAGGAGUGUGGAAUUCCUGGUGUAGCGGUGAAAUGCGCAGAUAUCAGGAGGAACACCAAUGGCGAAGGCAGCACUCUGGGACGUGACUGACGCUGAGACGCGAAAGCGUGGGGAGCAAACAGG